rnacentral:rRNA from 1 species
AAAUUGAAGAGUUUGAUCAUGGCUCAGAUUGAACGCUGGCGGCAGGCCUAACACAUGCAAGUCGAGCGGUAGCACGGGGGAGCUUGCUCCCUGGGUGACGAGCGGCGGACGGGUGAGUAAUGUCUGGGAAACUGCCUGAUGGAGGGGGAUAACUACUGGAAACGGUAGCUAAUACCGCAUAACCUCGCAAGAGCAAAGAGGGGGACCUUCGGGCCUCU